UAGUAGCAAUACCGAAGAAAGUCUAGUGGCGAACGGGUGCGUAACACGUGGGCAAUUUGCCUUAAAGUGGGGGAUAGCUCGGCGAAAGCCGGAUUAAUACCGCAUGUGAUUACCGGAGACAUCUUCGGAACAUCAAAGUCGGGGCAACCUGACGCUUUUUGAGCAGCCCGCGGCCUAUCAGCUAGUUGGUGAGGUAACGGCUCACCAAGGCUUUGACGGGUAGCUGGUCUGAGAGGACGACCAAUCACACUGGAACUGAGACACGGUCCAGACACCUACGGGUGGCAGCAGUCGAGAAUUUUUCUCAAUGGGGGAAACCCUGAAGGAGCGACGCCGCGUGGAGGAUGAAGGUCUUCGGGUUGUAAACUCCUGUCAUUUGGGAACAAUGCUUACGUAUUAACUGUACGUGAGUUGAUAGUACCAGAAGAGGAAGAGACGGCUAACUCUGUGCCAGCAGCCGCGGUAAUACAGAGGUCUCAAGCGUUGUUCGGAUUCAUUGGGCGUAAAGGGUGUGUAGGUGGCUCGCUAAGUCGGGUGUGAAAUUUCGGAGCUUAACUCCGAAACUGCAUUCGAUACUGGCGUGCUUGAGGACUGGAGAGGAGACUGGAAUUCACGGUGUAGCA
rnacentral:rRNA from 1 species